rnacentral:rRNA from 1 species
UACAGAGGUGGCAAGCGUUGUUCGGAAUUACUGGGCGUAAAGGGCGCGUAGGCGGCCUUCUAAGUCAGACGUGAAAUCCCCAGGCUUAACUUGGGAACUGCGUCUGAUACUGGGAGGCUUGAGUGCGGGAGAGGGACGUGGAAUUCCAGGUGUAGCGGUGAAAUGCGUAGAUAUCUGGAGGAACACCGGUGGCGAAGGCGGCAUCCUGGACCGACACUGACGCUGAGGCGCGAAAGCGUGGGGAGCAAACAGGG